CAGCUCCACAGGUCAGCGCAUCCACGCAGGUCAGAAGCCCUCCUGAUGGAUCACGGCCGGGUGCCUUCUAAGCGCUUGGCCGCAGGUUCGAGUCCUGCCGGGGGCUGGCCA
rnacentral:tRNA from 1 species